rnacentral:rRNA from 1 species
GACGAAGGAUGCAAGCGUUAUCCGGAUUCAUUGGGUUUAAAGGGCGCGUAGGUGGCCUUAUAAGUCAGUGGUGAAAUCUCUGGGCUUAACCCAGAAAUUGCCAUUGAUACUGUAGGGCUUGAGUAUAGUUGCCGUUGGCGGAAUAUGACAUGUAGUGGUGAAAUACAUAGAGAUGUCAUAGAACACCGAUUGCGAAGGCAGCUAACGAACCUAUAACUGACACUGAGGCGCGAAAGUGCGGGGAGCAAACAGG